rnacentral:rRNA from 1 species
CAGCCGCCGCGGUAAUACAGAGGGUGCAAGCGUUAAUCGGAAUUACUGGGCGUAAAGCGCGCGUAGGUGGUUUGUUAAGUUGGAUGUGAAAUCCCCGGGCUCAACCUGGGAAUUGCAGUGGAUACUGGGUCACUAGAGUGUGGUAGAGGAUAGUGGAAUUUCCGGUGUAGCAGUGAAAUGCGUAGAGAUCGGAAGGAACAUCUGUGGCGAAGGCGACUAUCUGGGCCAACACUGACACUGAGGCACGAAAGCGUGGGGAGCAAACAGGAUUAGAUACCCGCGUAGUCCCUGUCUCUUAUAC